AUUGAACGCUGGCGGCAUGCUUUACACAUGCAAGUCGAACGGCAGCACGGACUUCGGUCUGGUGGCGAGUGGCGAACGGGUGAGUAAUACAUCGGAACGUACCCAGUAAUGGGGGAUAACUAUCCGAAAGGAUAGCUAAUACCGCAUACGCCCUACGGGGGAAAGAGGGGGAUCGCAAGACCUCUUGUUAUUGGAGCGGCCGAUGGCUGAUUAGCUAGUUGGUGCGGUAAAGGCUCACCAAGGCGACGAUCAGUAUCGGGCCUUAGAGGACGAUCCGCCAAACGAGAACUGAGACACGGUCCAGACUCCUACGGGAGGCAGCAGUGGGGAAUCUUGGACAAUGGGCGCAAGCCUGAUCCAGCAAUGCCGCGUGCGUGAAGGAGGCCUUCGGGUUGUAAAGCGCUUUUGUCAGGGAGCAAAUCCUUGUGGCUAAUACCCACCGGGGAUGAGAGUACCUGAAGAAUAAGGACCGGCUAACUACGUGCCAGCAGCCGCAGUAA
rnacentral:rRNA from 1 species